GCGGACAUAGCUCAGUUGGGAGAGCGUCAGACUGAAGUAUGGGUCUCACGACCCAUUGAGAACUUCAUUCAAUCAAUCUGAAGGUCGUGUGUUCAAUCCACACUGGCCGCA
rnacentral:tRNA from 2 species